rnacentral:tRNA from 1 species
GCGGGCGUAGCUCAGUGAUAGAGUGCCACCUUGCCAAGGUGGACGUCGAGGGUUUAAAUCCCUUCGCCCGCUCCA